UACGUAGGGGGCGAGCGUUGUCCGGAUUUAUUGGGCGUAAAGAGCGUGUAGGCGGUUCGGUAAGUCUGUCGUGAAAUCCUGAGGCUCAACCUCGGGCGUGCGAUGGAUACUGCCGGGCUAGAGGGUGGUAGAGGCGAGUGGAAUUCCCGGUGUAGCGGUGAAAUGCGCAGAUAUCGGGAGGAACACCUAUGGCGAAGGCAGCUCGCUGGGACGUUACUGACGCUGAGACGCGAAAGCGUGGGGAGCAAACAGG
rnacentral:rRNA from 1 species